CCGCCCCCUCCCCCACCCCGCCCUGGUGCUGCCCCCGGGGCCGCGGUGCCGAGCGUUGGCCAAAGCUCUGCAGGAACCCACGGCAAAGCCGGAAGUGCUGAGGGCGCUGCUGUGGGAGGCGGUGGAGGCACAGCAGCAGCGGAUGGAGGAGGUGGCGGCGGGGCAGGGAGCGGAGCGACACCUGCGGGCUUUGGGGCUGACGGCGGUGGCGGGGGG